rnacentral:rRNA from 1 species
GACACUGUUCAACGGCCGCGGUAUCCUAACCGUGCGAAGGUAGCGUAAUCACUUGUUCUUUAAAUAAGGACUAGUAUGAAAGGCAUCACGAGAGUCAUACUGUCUCCUUUCUCUAAUCAGUGAAACUAAUCUUCCCGUGAAGAAGCGGGGAUAAAAAUAUAAGACGAGAAGACCCUAUGGAGCUUCAAACAAAUAACACUUGCCCCAGACCCCUAAUUUCAGAAAAAUUUUCUACCCCGGCAUCAUGAUUAUUAGUUUUCGGUUGGGGUGACCACGGAAUAAAAAACAACCUCCGCAAUGAAAGACACUCAUCUACUUAAUCAAGGGCCACAACCCCACACAUCAACAAAUUGACACUAAUUGACCCAACAUGUUGAUCAAUGAACCAAGUUACCCUAGGGAUAACAGCGCAAUCCACUUCAAGAGCUCCUAUCGACAAGUGGGUUUACGACCUCGAUGUUGGAUCAGGGUGUCCCAGUGGUGCAGCCGCUACUAAAGGUUCGUUUGUUCAACGAUUAAAACCCUACGUGAUCUGAGUGGAGAC